rnacentral:rRNA from 1 species
GAUGAACGCUAGCUACAGGCUUAACACAUGCAAGUCGCGGGGCAGCAUGGGGGUUGCUUGCCAUCCCCGAUGGCGACCGGCGCACGGGUGAGUAACGCGUAUCCAACCUGCCCUUCACCACGGGAUAACCCGGCGAAAGUCGGACUAAUACCGUAUGUUGUCCAUUGACGGCAUCCGAUUUGUACGAAAGGUUUGGCGGUGAAGGAUGGGGAUGCGUCCGAUUAGCUGGACGGCGGGGUGACGGCCCACCGGGGCGACGAUCGGUGGGGGUUCUGAGAGGGAGGUCCACCGCACUUGAACUGAGGCACAGGCCAGUCUCCUACGGGAGGCAGCAGAAAGGAAGACUAGGGAAGGGGCGUAAGCCUAAACCAACCAAGUGGCUGGCAAGAGGACGGGCCUAGUGGUUGUAAACUGCUGUUAAGCGAGGAUAAAGUGGCCCUCGUGUGGGUUUUUGCAGGUACCGAAUGAAUAAGGACCGGCUAAUUCCGUG